rnacentral:rRNA from 1 species
GAUGAACGCUGGCGGCGUGCCUAAUACAUGCAAGUCGAGCGAACAGAUAAGGAGCUUGCUCCUUUGACGUUAGCGGCGGACGGGUGAGUAACACGUGGGUAACCUACCUAUAAGACUGGAAUAACUCCGGGAAACCGGGGCUAAUGCCGGAUAACAUGUUGAGCCGCAUGGUUCUACAGUGAAAGGCGGCUUUGCUGUCACUUAUAGAUGGACCCGCGCCGUAUUAGCUAGUUGGUGAGGUAACGGCUCACCAAGGCAACGAUACGUAGCCGACCUGAGUGGGUGAACGGCCACACUGGAACUGAGACACGGUCCAGACUCCUACGGGAGGCAGCAGUAGUGAAUCUUCCGCGCUGGGCGAAAGCCUGACGGAGCAACGCCGCGUGAGUAAUGAAGGUCUUCGGAUCGUAAAACUCUGUUAUUAGGGAAGAACAAAUGCGUAAGUAACUGUGCGCGUCUUGACGGUACCUAAUCAGAAAGCCACGGCUAACUACGUG